rnacentral:rRNA from 1 species
GACGAACGCUGGCGGCGUGCCUAAUACAUGCAAGUCGAACGCUGAAGAGAGGAGCUUGCUCUUCUUGGGUGAGUCGCGAAGGGGUGAGUAACGCGUAGGUAACCCGCCUUGUAUCGGGGGAUAACUAUUGGAAACGAUAGCUAAUACCGCAUAACAAUGGAUGACACAUGUCAGUUAUUUGAAAUGGGCAAUUGCUCCACUACAAGAUGGAUCUGCGUUGUAUUAGCUAGUAGGUGAGGUAAUGGCUCACCUAGGCGACGAUACAUAGCCGACCUGAGAGGGUGGUCAGCCACACUGGGACUGAGACACGGCCCAGACUCCCACGGGAGGCAGCAGUAGGGAAUCUUCGGCAAUGGGGGCAACCCUGACCGAGCAACGCCGCGUGAGUGAAGAAGGUUUUCGGAUCGUAAAGCUCUGUUGUAAGUCAAGAACGGGUGUGAGAGUGGAAAGUUCACACUGUGACGGUAGCUUACCAGAAAGGGACGGCUAACUACGUG